GAACCCCCCUCCAGGUGCGUUUCUCCGCUCUGCUGAUGUUAUUGGAGCUGGCGUCCAAACUAAAGGAGAACUACAUGGUGCUGCUGCCAGAGACCAUCCCCUUCCUGGCUGAACUCAUGGAGGAUGAGUGUGAGGAGGUGGAGCAGCAGGUCCAGAAGGUGGUUCAGGAGAUGGAGAACAUCCUGGGAGAACCGCUACAGAGCUACUUCUAACACACAAACAACAGUCAACAGGUGUGAAGGUCAAACAGGAAGAGUUUGAACAUUUAUCAGCUGAUCUGAAGUGAACUUUGUACUUUUGUCUCUCAUAUGUACAAGAAAUAAAUAUUGUUCUUUCAA